CCUACGGGAGGCAGCAGUAGGGAAUCUUCCGCAAUGGACGAAAGUCUGACGGAGCAACGCCGCGUGAGUGAUGAAGGCUUUCGGGUCGUAAAACUCUGUUGUUAGGGAAGAACAAGUGCUAGUUGAAUAAGCUGGCACCUUGACGGUACCUAACCAGAAAGCCACGGCUAACUACGUGCCAGCAGCCGCGGUAAUACGUAGGUGGCAAGCGUUAUCCGGAAUUAUUGGGCGUAAAGCGCGCGCAGGUGGUUUCUUAAGUCUGAUGUGAAAGCCCACGGCUCAACCGUGGAGGGUCAUUGGAAACUGGGAGACUUGAGUGCAGAAGAGGAAAGUGGAAUUCCAUGUGUAGCGGUGAAAUGCGUAGAGAUAUGGAGGAACACCAGUGGCGAAGGCGACUUUCUGGUCUGUAACUGACACUGAGGCGCGAAAGCGUGGGGAGCAAACGGGAUUAGAUACCCCGGUAGUCCACGCCGUAAACGAUGAUCACUAAGUGUGGGGGGUCGAACCUCCGUGCUCAAGCCAACGCGAUAAGUGAUCCGCCUGGGGAGUACGCACGCAAGUGUGAAACUCAAAGGAAUUGACGGA
rnacentral:rRNA from 1 species